UUUAACGAGAGUUUGAUCCUGGCUCAGGAUGAACGCUGGCGGCGUGCUUAACACAUGCAAGUCGAGCGAAACACUUAAAUCAGAUUUCUUCGGAAUGAAGAACUUUGUGAUUGAGCGGCGGACGGGUGAGUAACGCGUGGAUAACCUACCUCAUACAGGGGGAUAACAGUUAGAAAUGACUGCUAAUACCGCAUAAGACCGCGGCACCGCAUGGUGCAGUGGUAAAAACUCCGGUGGUAUGAGAUGGAUCCGCGUCUGAUUAGCUAGUUGGUGAGGUAAUGGCCCACCAAGGCGACGAUCAGUAGCCGACCUGAGAGGGUGAUCGGCCACAUUGGGACUGAGACACGGCCCAAACUCCUACGGGAGGCAGCAGUGGGGAAUAUUGCACAAUGGGGGAAACCCUGAUGCAGCGACGCCGCGUGAAGGAUGAAGUAUUU
rnacentral:ncRNA from 1 species